rnacentral:misc_RNA from 1 species
UGAUGAUAGAGGAGUAAUGGAAGCAAUCAUUAAGGUGUUACAAGAGCUGAUGACGCCUGUGGAAUGCCUCAUGCCGGUGGAGAUCAUGGGAAGAAAUUAUGAGGGUCGGCAUAUUGUGCACGAACUGGAAUCAGCCAUAGUAAUGACUAAGAAACUAUUCCUAGACACCCGCGUCACAAAAGCCCUCAUUGAUUUAAUGAGCACGGUCUUACAGGAUUCCAAGGUGCUAAGCCUUGCCGAGUGUGAACUUAUCAACCAUUGCCUGUUGCUCGUGAGAAACCUCCUUCAUGUGAGCAACAUCCCUUGCCCACUCAUUAACAAAGCCAUGUACAAUCCACCAACAUCAUCCUCAUCCUCAAAUCAGCAGGCUGGAACAAGUCCAGAUGUUUUGACAGAAGACCAAAUUAUGUGGAACCUGUUUGCUCAUAGAUUUGACAAUAUCUUGAUACAGUUGCUAACUUGUGACCAGCAGCAUUUGUGGAAUGUCACCCUAGUGCAGCUUGUUUCCUUGAUGUAUCGUGAGCAGCAGCAAAGCACAAUUCGAAAGCUUAUUCAUGAAUGGUUGGAAUCCUCACUCUCGGAGAGUUCAGAGGAUGAUGAGAACAACACCAUGUCAUCGUCAUCCUCAGAUGCCAUCUCAACAUCUGACCCAGUAUCGGACUCCUCAGAAAGGUUAUCUCCUGUUGACAGUGUUAACAAAGGGGAGAAGACUCAUCCAAAUGCAAAUGAAAAUAAUGAAAAUUCAGACACUUCAAGGAUUGCAAAGACAGAUAAAGAGGACAGCUGCAAGGACAGUGGGUUUGGUCGCUCAGGUUCCAACAUGGAUUCGUCACCCGAAGAGUCGGUCUCUGAGGGCACUAGUCAGCAUAUGGGUAUGCAGAAAACAUGGAAUUCCACUUCUACAAAUGAUGAUAGUCAGCAAUAUUCCACUGAUCAGACAUCAUCAGGAAACAAUUUGGACCAAGUCCAGAAGAUAAAUGUACAACAUAGUGAAAAUAAACUUGAAAAUGUAUCUAUAGACCGAAUGGAAACUUCUCCUUUAGGAUUUGACAAUGUCAAGGAUAGUGCAUGUGACAUGAAAGAUGAACUGAGUGAAAGAGAAAGUGACCCAGGAGGAAGUGGAGGAAGUGAAGGGGGAAGUGAAGGUAGUAGCCCAGUGCCUGCAAUGGGCCAGGAAUCCCCAAUAUCACAGAUAGACAUUGAUAGUCGGGAUCCAAAUCCUCCACAGUAUAUUCAUAAUGUUGAAGAUGAAAUUCUAACAGCUGUUGGCUCAUUGCUGAUGGAGGAUGGUGGCUGUGACCCAACACCAUUGAGAGUAGAGACCAUAGAUGAUAUGGGGCAAAUGGAUGAGGAAGUUAAUCAGCAAAUGUGUUCAUCACAGGAAUCCAUCAAGAGACCCCCAAACAAGGAGGAGUCAGGGUCCAGUGGGGAUUCAAGUGAGAAAAAGCCUCCACCUCAGUUACCAAAGUUGCUUAAGAACAAACCACUAACAGGUCAGAAAAGAUCCAGACAUACAAUGUCACAGAAAAUGCUUUCAGAGAGCCAGGAGAAUAAUGAAUCAAGUAACUCUACAGGCUCAGAAUGUGACGAGGGCCCCCAUGCCAAGCGACCACACCAUCAGAAGCCUCACAAGAUGCUGAGUAAGCCAAGACCAGCCAAAAUGUUGCAGAAGGCGCUGCAGGAAAGAAACAUCAAGCGGAGUAAAUUGAUGAAGCGCAAAGAGAGCAAUAGCAUAAAGGCAAAAGCCCUCUUGCAUCAUCAUCCAACAGCAGAUGAUAUUUCAAACUUGCUGAAGGAGUUCACUGUGGACUUUAUGCUUAAUGGGUACUCUAAUAUGGUACAGGGUUUAAGACUACAAGUUAUGUUACCCUACCAGAUUGAUCUUGACAAAUCUCAUGUUUUGUGGCUCAUAACAUAUUUCCUGCGCUUUGCUGUUGAGCUGGAUUUGGAGCUUUCGCAAAUUUGUCCAGUUUUAUCUGUAGAUGUGGUUUCCUACUUGGUAUAUGAAGGAGUAGUUAUGCAAGAAGAACUGGAACAAGCAGUCCGUUCUGGUGAAGACAACCUGCUCCCUCAUGUCAGACGUCUGCAUCUUGUGGUUACAGCUCUUAGAGAAUUUUUUGUAGCUUUAGAUGUCUGUUUGAAGAAGGAGCAGAACCUAUGUAAUGCUGGGAAUUUACUGCAGAUAAAAGAGGAACUUGGGCAACUCGUUGAAGUUAGACAGUUGUUUGUCUUGUUGAUACGGAUGUACAGGCCAGGAGUAUUGAACCUCAAUUAUCUCCAAGAUCUCAUUACGACAAAUCAUCGAUUCUUGACAACUCAGGAGGGAAACAACCUCACAACUUCAUCCUUGCAGUGUUUCAACAUUGUAAAUCAUAUCAAGCAGUUUGCCACCAUGGACAUGAUGCGUCAGUAUGGCCGUCUCCUUGAAAACUUCAACAUCAAUGAUGAAACUGUAAAUGAUUGCAUAUUCACAAUGAUGCACCACAUUGCAGGAGACUUACGUAAUGUUAAUGUUUUACUGCAGCCUCCAAUUUUGAGAGUAUUUCUACGCAUUUGGAAAGAAGGCUUUGAAUUGUGUGCAGACUGGGCAGAUCUCAUAGAAUAUGUAUUAAGGAAAUGCACCCGUGUCCGCACAGAACACCCCAAUAAGGAAAAGAAAGACACACAAAAACCAGUGUCAGAACCUCUUGGCAUUGAAUUGACGGACGAAGACCUAGACCAGCUCUACUCUCUGUACACUGCCUCCACCAGUGAGCAAGAUUUGAUGGACAAGAUCAAGGAAAUAUGCUGUGAUGAUUCAAUAGAAGAACCUAUUAAGAAAGAAGUUAUCCAGAAGUUGCUUGCCCGAGGAUUUAUAACUACAAGUGAAUGUUCAAAACUUUGUGCUGAAAUACCACCAAUUGAGCCUCUGGCCAGCAAGAGCGAAGGGGCCCUGAGUGUGGAAUGUGACGUCAUGCAAGUGAGCAGUGACUCGGAGGAAUCCAUGGAUGCUCCGCAGUGUGCACCAGAAACUACACUCAAGAAUAUCAACAAGAAAUACUCUAAGAACAUUAACGAAGUUCAUGAGAUGAUGCCACUGCUUGGCCCACUUAAAAGCAAGAAACUGACAGCGCCUGAGGUUGACAAUGCAAAGAAUAUGGAAGAGAAGAUCAUCCCAAUGCACAAGGAAACAAGUGAUUCUGUACAAGGUGCUUCAUCGGACAAAACAGAAGAAAGUGCAGAAAGCAACAUGACCUGUACUGAAGACAGCACUGACUGGGAUGACAACACUACCAUUACAAUGCUUAUAGGCCAACUCAAAGAAGAAGGAUAUGGGGCUCAGGUCCAGUGGUUGCAACUCCAACUCCUAGAAGCUUGUUAUUCAAAGCUAAAGAUGGUUGGCCCAAAUCUACCAAAGGCAGAACCUGUACCUUGUCAUUUCACGUUAUCAAACCAGUCUAUACCUCUAGUUCCCUGGACAAGUGAGCAGGAAGAGGCUUUUUCUUCCUUAAAGUUCCGCCAGCUGCUUGGAGAGCUGGGCUUUCACCUUCCCUCUGACACGGGCAAAAUCUUCCCAAGAAUCCCCCACUUUUGGUGUCCAGAAGUACUAUUUAUGGUGGCAAAACGUCUCGGACCCAUUAAUAGCAAGGAGAUGACGACACCGCUGUCCUCAAGGAUUCUUCAUUGCUUGAUUGUGAUGACUCCUCUGAACGAGUUAGCGACUGCUCCAUGGAGAACAAUCGCUCUAGCCCCACCUCACCUGCAUCCUCAAUAGAUGAGAAACUGGCGUUGCUGCAUGAUGAAGAGACUGAGAGCAGUGAAUUUUCCCAAAGAAUCCCUAUGGCUGGUUUGAUGGUAUCUCCAGCAGGCGUACCAGCUGGUCAUGAGAAUCAAGAUGACCCAGACGGCUUAAUGACAUCUCCAGUACAAGUAAUUUCAACAGCUGAUGAUGUCAUGAUGAUGUUAUCAG